GAUGAACGCUAGCGGCAGGCUUAAUACAUGCAAGUUGAGGGGCAGCAUGAUAUACGCGAGUAUAUUGAUGGCGACCGGCGGACGGGUGAGUAAUAGGUAGGAGACCUACCUCAUACAGGGGGAUAGCAUAGAGAAAUCUGUGGUAAUACCCCAUGAGGUUAUAUGAAUAGAGGCAUAUAAUCAAAGCAUAAGCGAUUAUGCGGUAUGAGAGGGGCCUACUGACCAUUAGCUAGUUGGUGAGGUAACUGCUCACCAAGGCGACGAUCCGUAGCGGGUCUGAGAGGAUGAUCCGCCACACUGGGACUGAGACACGGCCCAGACUCCUACGGGAGGCAGCAGUGGGGAAUUUUGGACAAUGGGCGCAAGCCUGAUCCAGCCAUGCCGCGUGAGUGAAGAAGGCCUCGGUUGUAAGACUCUUCGUCCGGAGAAUACGUGUUCUCUACAUAGGACAUGGAUGACGGUACCGGAACG
rnacentral:rRNA from 1 species